CACUCCUUCCCCCAUUCUGGCCCCAAAGUCAACCACCUGGUCAUUCUCUGGGAAGGAUAACUGAUGGAAGAGUUACUUGUACACAGAGGCACCCUUGGAAACACGAUGCUACCUCUCAAUGGGAUUUUCCAGUACAAAGAUUCUUUUCAAAUAACAUAAUUGUGGAUACACACCACUCCUACAGAGAAUCAAAAGAGAGCCAAGGAUUUUAAAGUUCAUGAACUUUCAGAAAGAGAUCUUUCUUCUCUGAUUGAAAUGGGAACGGCAGCCACUGUUUGAUUUCCAAGAAACCUUUGUCUUUAGAGAGCUAAUAAAUUACACUACGCAUAUAGGUAAUCAGUGUGACUGGUGCUCUAUUCCAAAGGGAAGAUAACUCUCAAUAUUAUAGACGCUUUGAUUAAUUCUUUAUAGUAAGCAUAUUUUUCCCCCUGAAUCCUUGAGAGAUUUCAAAAGCCAGAAAAAGGUUUGAUUAUAUGAAGCAUGAUGUUAAUGGAGGCUUAAUAAAAUCAUGCAUACCCUAACAUGUUUAACGUGAGGGAGCCUGACAAACGGGAUUGACUUUAUAACAUAAUCAAUAUUGCCUUGCUAAGUUGGGUAAAUUCAUUUCUCAAAGUUUAUUUAGUAUCAAAAGAACAAAAUUCAAAAAGUAUGUAAAGCCAGAAACUUUCAAGAUUAAAGAUGAAGUGAAACAGUAUCAAAACUGUAUUAAGCUGGUCCAGAUUAGUUAUUAUUUCAAACGGCUAGUCAAAGGCAUCCAGCUUUUAAGGUAAAAUUCUUAUAUACUUUAAUAUGAGUGACUUCAGAUUCAAUAUUAUUGUGUCUUGUUUUCCAAAGGAAUAUUUUAGAUUUUAAGCCAAAUGUGGAAUUAUAUGGUUGGAGGUUACAUAACGCAGUCCCGCAGCAUGUUUUAUAUUACGUCUAGGAGACGAGCAUUAGAUUUCACAGACAAAGUCAUGGAGAUGCCACACUGUCGGAAUUUCUGAUCUAACGGCCGUGCUUAUGUUUGAAUGAGAAACCCAAGGGCCAAAUUCACAAACAAUUCCAUUUGCUUUUUGUACCCUGGAUGCCUAAAUCUCUAGAACUUGCACUUUUAAACAGAUAAAGUAAGUUCUCUCCGUCCUCCUUACAAAACAUGAAACUUGCAAAUGUUUCUCACCUAACAUUAAUAGCGUCUAAGGGGCUUUGCGUCCUACCCCAAACGGCAGGGCAGCUGAGAAAAGCAUUCUCAACUGAGCCAUCCUGUUCAAAUAUACCGUCAGCUCUUGCUCCUUUCCAAGCCAGGCACACAAAGAAUUCUACAAGCGUCUUUAAAACAUGACAUGUAAUGUCACUUUUACAAGUAGCUAGUCUCUUUGGUUUUCUUUUAAUCACAUAUGUAUUCCUUGGAAAAUAAAUAUGUUUGUUUACAAUAUUGAGA